UGAUUUUAGAGAGUCCAGAACCACAGCCAAAUCCGAGUGACAAGAUGGAGGGAGAAGAUGGAAUAGAGGCCUUAAAAUUAAUCCACUCUGAGCAAGAAAGAGGUGCCCUAUCCACCGAAAAACAUAAUUGUAUUUUGCAAACUCUAAGCUCUCCUGAUUCAAAAAAGGAAUCCUCCACUAACUCACCAACAAGAGAGCUCUAUAAUCACAGUGACAUUCUGAAAGAAGACCUUGAAGCCUGUGGAACAGCUGUCCUUCACCAGCCUCCGAGACUCUUACCUGGAGGUGGCAGCCAUGAAAAGCAAGUCAGAUCUGAACAAGCGUCAGCCUCAGGCUUGUUGAGGGCACAGUUGGGUCAGCACAUGGCCACCUUGAAAGAACGUGAUAAUUCUAUCACAGAAGAGGUAGCUAAGAAGUCUGAAGUUUUCCUAGUCACAAACGUGGACCAGAGGACAGGGGUUAGUAAUUUUUAUUUUUUUUAAUAAGUUUCAAGAUGUACAAAUUAUUCAUUUAAGGAAAUAGUCA